AGAGCGAACGCUGGCGGCAGGCCUAACACAUGCAAGUCGAACGGAUCCUUCGGGAUUAGUGGCGGACGGGUGAGUAACACGUGGGAACGUGCCUUUUGGUUCGGAAUAACCCAGGGAAACCUGUGCUAAUACCGAAUGUGCCCUUCGGGGGAAAGAUUUAUCGCCAUUAGAGCGGCCCGCGUCUGAUUAGCUAGUUGGUAGGGUAAAGGCCUACCAAGGCUACGAUCAGUAGCUGGUCUGAGAGGAUGAUCAGCCACACUGGGACUGAGACACGGCCCAGACUCCUACGGGAGGCAGCAGUGGGGAAUCUUGCGCAAUGGGCGAAAGCCUGACGCAGCCAUGCCGCGUGAAUGAUGAAGGUCUUAGGAUUGUAAAAUUCUUUCACCGGGGACGAUAAUGACGGUACCCGAGAAGAGCCCCGGCUAACUUCGUGCCAGCACGCCGC
rnacentral:rRNA from 1 species